rnacentral:rRNA from 1 species
GACGAACGCUGGCGGCGUGCCUAAUACAUGCAAGUAGAACGCUGAAGAGAGGAGCUUGCUCUUCUUGGAUGAGUUGCGAACGGGUGAGUAACGCGUAGGUAACCUGCCUGGUAGCGGGGGAUAACUAUUGGAAACGAUAGCUAAUACCGCAUAAAAUGGAUUAUCGCAUGAUAAUCCAUUGAAAGGUGCAAAUGCAUCACUACCAGAUGGACCUGCGUUGUGUUAGCUAGUUGGUGGGGUAACGGCUCACCAAGGCGACGAUACAUAGCCGACCUGAGAGGGUGAUCGGCCACACUGGGACUGAGACACGGCCCAGACUCCUACGGGAGGCAGCAGUAGGGAAUCUUCGGCAAUGGACGGAAGUCUGACCGAGCAACGCCGCGUGAGUGAAGAAGGUUUUCGGAUCGUAAAGCUCUGUUGUAAGAGAAGAACGAGUGUGAGAGUGGAAAGUUCACACUGUGACGGUAUCUUACCAGAAAGGGACGGCUAACUACGUG